UGCGGGGUAGUGGAGGAGUCCCAUGCGAGGCUCAUAACCUUGAGACGCCGGUGCAAUUCCGGCCUCCGCAA
rnacentral:tRNA from 1 species